rnacentral:tRNA from 1 species
GCCCUUGUAACUCAGUGGUAGAGUGCAUCACUUGUAAUGAUGAAGUCCACUGUUCAAUCCAGUGCUGGGGCA